UACGUAGGGUGCAAGCGUUGCCCGGAUUUAUUGGGCGUAAAGGGCGCGCAGGCGGCUACGCACGUCCGUCGUGAAAUCGCUCGGCUCAACUGGGCGGGGUCGGCGGAUACGGCGUAGCUGGAGCAAGCUAGGGGGCAAUGGAAUUCCCGGUGUAGUGGUGGAAUGCGUAGAUAUCGGGAGGAACACCAGUGGCGAAGGCGGUUGCCUGGAGCUUUGCUGACGCUGAGGCGCGAAAGCGUGGGGAGCGAUCCGG
rnacentral:rRNA from 1 species